rnacentral:rRNA from 1 species
GACGAACGCUGGCGGCGUGCCUAAUACAUGCAAGUCGAGCGCAGGAAACUGACGGAACUCUUCGGAGGGAAGGCAGCGGAAUGAGCGGCGGACGGGUGAGUAACACGUAAGGAACCUGCCUCAAGGAUUGGGAUAACUCCGAGAAAUCGGAGCUAAUACCGGAUAGUUCACCGGACCGCAUGGUCCGUUGAUGAAAGGCGCUCCGGCGUCACCUUGAGAUGGCCUUGCGGUGCAUUAGCUAGUUGGUGGGGUAACGGCCCACAAAGGCGACGGUGCAUAGCCGACCGGAGAGGGUGAUCGGCCACACUGGGACGGGGACACGGCCCAGACUCCUACGGGAGGCAGCAGUAGGGAAUCUUCCACAAUGGACGAAAGUCUGAUGGAGCAACGCCGCGUGAGUGAUGAAGGUUUUCGGAUCGUAAAACUCUGUUGUAAGGGAAGAACACGUACGAGAGGGAAUGCUCGUACCUUGACGGUACCUUACGAGAAAGCCACGGCUAACUACGUGCCAGCAGCCGCCGUAA